ACGAACUAAAACAGUAAAUAUAUAUUAAAUAUGUUUUCAAUAUUUUAUAAAUACAAUUGAACAAGUUUCUUUCACUUUUCUUAAGAACAAUUUUCACUCUUCUUUAUCACAGCAUGGGCAUUGGGCACAUAAAUGUUGCACCUCUUCUGAUGACUUUAAUUUCUGUACAAACUGACAGGUGUACCCAGUGGUUGCAGGCUCUAUUGUCACACUGUGCCCAUUUUACAAAAGUCGUUUUAGAUAAGCCUUAAAAGAAAACAAGUAAAAAAAAUCACAACUAAGAAGAGGUCUGAAAACCAAUUUAAUAAAAAAAGCUUUGCCUUAAAUUUACUACGAUUUACUACUAUUUCCGAUAUGAAGCGCUGUCAAUAAAGUGUUAUGUUAAGAUCGUCUGCUUUACAUUUCAAUUUUUGUGGGAAUUUAAUAAAUAGGAC